rnacentral:rRNA from 1 species
AGUGAACGCUGGCGGUAGGCCUAACACAUGCAAGUCGAACGGCAGCACAGUAAGAGCUUGCUCUUACGGGUGGCGAGUGGAGGACGGGUGAGGAAUACAUCGGAAUCUACUUUUUCGUGGGGGAUAACGUAGGGAAACUUACGCUAAUACCGCAUACGACCUACGGGUGAAAGCAGGGGAUCUUCGGACCUUGCGCGAUUGAAUGAGCCGAUGUCGGAUUAGCUAGUUGGCGGGGUAAAGGCCCACCAAGGCGACGAUCCGUAGCUGGUCUGAGAGGAUGACCAGCCACACUGGAACUGAGACACGGCCCAGACUCCUACGGGAGGCAGCAGUGGGGAAUAUUGGACAAUGGGCGCAAGCCUGAUCCAGCCAUACCGCGUGGGUGAAGAAGGCCUUCGGGUUGUAAAGCCCUUUUGUUGGGAAAGAAAAGCAGCAGGUUAAUACCCCGCUGUUCUGACGGUACCCAAAGAAUAAGCACCGGCUAACUUCGUG